rnacentral:rRNA from 1 species
AUGAGUGCUCUCAUUGAUCAAAUAGACUGCCGUGUGAUUCUUGACAGGUUUGGUUGCUUGAUUGAAGAGCGACAGACGAGGCAGACGGUUGGGACUGGCACCAGGCGUAGGGGGCUCUGGUACAUGGACCAGGAGGUGCAGCCGGACUUGGUGUGUGCUGCGACCAUGGAGGACAAGGAGAAGCAGGCGAUGAUCCAUCACUGUAGGAUGGGACAUGUAUCUUUUGAUAAGAUGAGCAGAAUAUUUCCGGAUGUUAUGUUUGGAAUAGGCAAGGGCAAGCUGACAUGUGAUGCUUGCGAAUAUGCAAAACACACAAGAGCCACAUAUGUGAGUAAGGGGCUUAGGAGCAUAUCUCCUUUUAUGCUUAUUCAUUCAGAUGUAUGGAAGAGCCCAGUUGUGCCAAUGCAUGGAAUGAAGUACUUUGUUACCUUUAUCGACUGCUAUACUCGUAUGACUUGGAUUUAUUUGAUGCGUCACAAGGAUGAGGUGUUUAGCUGUUUUCAGAAUUUCCAUGCCUUGGUGAAGAAUCAGUUUAAGGUGGGUGGAGGUGCAGGUGAUCAGGACUGA